rnacentral:rRNA from 1 species
AUUGAACGCUGGCGGCAGGCUUAACACAUGCAAGUCGAGCGGAGAGAGGUAGCUUGCUACUGAUCUUAGCGGCGGACGGGUGAGUAAUGCUUAGGAAUCUGCCUAUUAGUGGGGGACAACAUUUCGAAAGGAAUGCUAAUACCGCAUACGUCCUACGGGAGAAAGCAGGGGAUCUUCGGACCUUGCGCUAAUAGAUGAGCCUAAGUCGGAUUAGCUAGUUGGUGGGGUACAGGCCUACCAAGGCGACGAUCUGUAGCGGGUCUAAGAGGAUGAUCCGCCACGCUGGGGCUGAGACACGGCCAAGACUCCUACGGGAGGAAGCAGUAGGGAAUAGUGGACAACGGGGGCAAGCCUGAUCCAGCCAUGCCGCGUGUGGGAAGAAGGCCUUAUGGUUAUAAAGCACUUUAAGCGAGGAGGAGGCAAAUUUAGUUAAUACCUGGAAAUAGUGGACGUUACUCGCAGAAUAAGCACCGGCUAACUCUGUGCCAGCAGCCGCCGUAAAAC